CAAGUUGUAGAGUAUUGUUCAAAAUUUUUUUUUCUAACAUGUCAUAUUUAAAUGCUUGUGGAAAAUGCUGAAAUUUGGAUCCAUUACCUUAUAUCUGAUGGUGGCACUGAAAAUAAGCAUUCCUGUUUUCUUCUUUUUAGGAUUACUGAAUAAAUGAAUAGUCAACAGUCUUGAAAAGAGCAGAUGGAGACACUGACUCGACGUGGAAAUCCAAACACCUCUCUGUGAAGUGUUUUCAGAGUUCAUCCCCUGCUGAAAGUCUCCUCAAGUUCUUUGCUGUUGCCCAGCCAACACCUGAGGGAUCACAAACAAACCUUGGAGUAAGUAAUUAAAAUUCAAAGCUCCAGCAUUCAGAUAGUUUUUACACUUUCUUUUGCUUCCAACUAGCUAGGAAUUUUCCAGACAAGCUUUUAAUUAACAGGUGAGCUUAACUGAUAUGUGAGUUUUCUUUAAAUGGAAAGGAUAUCAGUGAGAAGUACGGCAGGACUCUUUCAUACUCACAGUUUAAGACCGUUAGUUUGUUUGCACAUUGAUGAAUGGGUUUUUUUUUAGCAAAUAAACAAAACUGAAAAUACAAGUAUUUGGAAGAGCUGAGACAGAAUUAACUAGAAUUAUGCUGAUUUUCAUAGCACCACCUCAAAAGAAACUACCUCAGCUCUGACAGCUUAGCCUGUGGUCUGGAAUAAGACACAAGUGAUGGAAAUUCAUAGGUACCA